rnacentral:rRNA from 1 species
GACGAACGCUGGCGGCGUGCUUAACACAUGCAAGUCGAACGGAAAGGCCCUGCUUUUGUGGGGUGCUCGAGUGGCGAACGGGUGAGUAACACGUGAGUAACCUGCCCUUGACUUUGGGAUGACUUCUGGAAACUGGGGCUAAUACCGGAUAGGAGCUCCUGCUGCAUGGUGGGGGUUGGAAAGUUUCGGCGGUUGGGGAUGGACUCGCGGCUUAUCAGCUUGUUGGUGGGGUAGUGGCUUACCAAGGCUUUGACGGGUAGCCGGCCUGAGAGGGUGACCGGCCACAUUGGGACUGAGAUACGGCCCAGACUCCUACGGGAGGCAGCAGUGGGGAAUAUUGCACAAUGGGCGGAAGCCUGAUGCAGCAACGCCGCGUGCGGGAUGACGGCCUUCGGGUUGUAAACCGCUUUCGCCUGUGACGAAGCGUGAGUGACGGUAAUGGGUAAAGAAGCACCGGCUAACUACGUG